rnacentral:misc_RNA from 1 species
GAUGAAGAACGCAGCGAAAUGCGAUACUUGGUGUGAAUUGCAGAAUCCCGUGAACCAUCGAGUCUUUGAACGCAAGUUGCGCCCGAAGCCAUUAGGCCGAGGGCACGCCUGCCUGGGCGUCACACGUCGUUGCCCCCCCAUCUACUCCUUCGGGAUUGCGGGGGGCGGAUGAUGGCCUCCCGUGCGCCUCGUCGCGCGGUUGGCAUAAAUGCCAAGUCCUCGGCGACACACGCCACGACAAUCGGUGGUUGCGAAACCUCGGUUGCCCGUCGUGUGCGGUCGUCGCGCAUCGAGGGCUCGAAAAAAUUGCCGGGCUCCGGCUCGGCUUUCACCGCGACCCCAGGUCAGGCGGGGUUACCCGCUGAAUUUAAGCAUAUCAAUAAGCGGAGGA